UCACUGUCACCAGGGAUACCUCUGGUGAGGUUCUUGGCAGGGGUACUAAGAUCACUCUCUUCCUCAAGGAGGAUCAGCUAGAGUACCUUGAGGAGCGCCGGUUGAAGGAUUUGAUUAAGAAGCAUUCUGAGUUCAUUAGCUACCCAAUUUCUCUUUGGGUUGAGAAGACUACCGAGAAGGAGAUUUCUGACGAUGAGGAUGAGGAAGAGAAGAAGGAUGAGGAGGGUAAGGUGGAGGAUGUUGAUGAGGAGAAGGAGAAGGAAGAAAAAAAGAAAAAGAAGAUCAAGGAAGUGUCACAUGAAUGGUCCUUGGUGAACAAGCAGAAGCCCAUUU
rnacentral:lncRNA from 1 species